UACGAAGGGGGCUAGCGUUGCUCGGAAUCACUGGGGCGUAAAGCGCACGUAGGCGGAUUGCUAAGUCAGGGGUGAAAUCCUGGAGCUCAACUCCAGAACUGCCUUUGAUACUGGCGAUCUUGAGUCCGGGAGAGGUGAGUGGAACUGCGAGUGUAGAGGUGAAAUUCGUAGAUAUUCGCAAGAACACCAGUGGCGAAGGCGGCUCACUGGCCCGGUAUGACGCUGAGGUGCG
rnacentral:rRNA from 1 species